UCAGUAGAGCAAGACAAGGCUGCUGCACCACGAUGAUCGGAACAUUGGCUGCUUUGACUCUUUUUACUAUGUCAUUCGUUCAUUCUGUGGUGGAUUCUCAGCAGAUGUCUGUGACUGUGGCUGAACUUGGUCACAGUGUUACUCUUCAGUGUCGAUACUCUGACAACAAAAGUAAAUUCUUGUACUGGAACAAGGAAACUCUUGGACAUUUGCCCCAAAUUGUAGCAGAAGUAGUUUUUGGUCAAGCAAAUGUUAUUGAAGAGUUCAAAGGCCCACGUUUCUUGGCCAGAACAGAUGAGGAUCUGCAUUUUUUCACCAUCACAAACGUCACCAAAGAAGAUGAAGCUGUUUAUUUUUGUCAAGGCAGAGCAGCAUAUGGACAAACAUUCAUCAACGGCACAUUCUUGUCUGUAAUAGGUCAAAUAUUCUUUACUAUCAGUCUUUGAAUUUAUUACCUUAAUAUUUAUAUUUAUAUGAUUUGAAUGUAUUUUAAACAUCACACAGAUGGAAAUCAGCUAAAACCAGUCUA